GGUGCUUCAGCAGUAACAUAUGGUAAUACUGAAAUGACAGAGAAGAUCAGCAUAGCCCUGUGCAAGGAUGACACACAAAUUUAUGAAGCAUUCCAUGUAUUA
ensembl:snRNA U6 U6 spliceosomal RNA